CUGGCUGCUAAAGAAAGAAAUACCCUCAUUGCUAGAGCCCAAUUCUAAGGCAUUGUCACUUCUAACAGUUUGAACCACAGCAUUAAAUUGGGUUCUGACCAGAGAAAGAAAUGACUUAAGCAAAGAAAAAGCAUUACUUUUGGAUCCCAAUAGGUGUGUCCAAGUGGCCCUUGAAAAGUCAUCAACAAUUGUAAGAAAAUAUUUGCAACUAGAUGAGGUUGGAGUAUGAUAAGGUCCCCAGGUGUCCACAUGAAUCAGUUGAAAAGGCCUAGAGGUUCUAAUGGAGCUACCAGGGAAAGGAAGCCUAGUCUGUCUGGCCAUGGGACAGACUGUACAGGGAAAGGGUUGUUUGGAAGCAAAACCAAAAGAUAGACCAGAAUGCAUUUCAUACUUGCAAAUGGAGUAUGUGCAAGUCUUAAGUGCCAAAUGUAAUUCAUAUCAUUGAUAAGGUCCACAUGUGUCCACAUGAAUCUGUUGAAAAGGCCUAGAGGUUCUAAUAGAGCUAUCAGGGAAAGGAAGCCUAGUCUGUCUGGCCAUAGGACAGACUGUACAGGGAAAGGGUUGUUUGGAAGCAAAAGGAAAAGACAGACCAGAAAUGCAU
rnacentral:lncRNA from 1 species